ACUGAACGCUGGCGGAACGCUUUACACAUGCAAGUCGAACGGCAGCACGGACUUCGGUCUGGUGGCGAGUGGCGAACGGGUGAGUAAUACAUCGGAACGUGCCCAGUCGUGGGGGAUAACGUAGCGAAAGCUACGCUAAUACCGCAUACGAUCUAAGGAUGAAAGCGGGGGAUCGCAAGACCUCGUGCGAUUGGAGCGGCCGAUGGCAGAUUAGGUAGUUGGUAGGGUAAAGGCCUACCAAGCCGACGAUCUGUAGCUGGUCUGAGAGGAUGAUCCGCCACACUGGGACUGAGACACGGCCCAGACUCCUAAGGGAGGCAGCAGUGGGGAAUUUUGGACAAUGGGCGCAAGCCUGAUCCAGCCAUUCCGCGUGCAGGAUGAAGGCCUUCGGGUUGUAAACUGCUUUUGUACAGAACGAAAAGGCUCUGGUUAAUACCCGGGGCUCAUGACGGUACUGUAAGAAUAAGCACCGGCUAACUACGUGCCAGCAGCCGCCGUAA
rnacentral:rRNA from 1 species